rnacentral:snoRNA from 11 species
GAAUGAAGGAAGCAUGGUAAUGUGCACAGAGAUUGAAUUCUAAGGUCAUCAUGUCUGCUCUCUCUGAUGCCUUUCGGGGCUUUGAUUUGGGGGCCUGGAUCAGACCUACAUUU